rnacentral:rRNA from 1 species
CCUACGGGAGGCAGCAGUGAGGAAUAUUGGUCAAUGGGCGAGAGCCUGAACCAGCCAAGUCGCGUGAGGGAGUACUGCCCUAUGGGUUGUAAACCUCUUUUGUCGGGGAGCAAAAGCCGGACGUGUCCGGCUGUGAGAGUACCCGACGAAAAAGCAUCGGCUAAAUCCGUGCCAGCAGCCGCGUUAAUACGGAGGAUGCGAGCGGUAUCCGGAUUUAUUGGGUUUAAAUGGUGCGCAGGCGGAGUUUUAAGUCAGCGGUCAAAUCCGGGGGCUCAAACCCAUGCAGCCGUUGAAACUGGGGAUCUAGAUUGGGCGAGAGGUAUGCGGAAUGCGUGGUGGAGCGGUGAAAUGCAUAGAUAUCACGCAGAACCCCGAUUGCGAAGGCAGCAUACCGGUGCACAACUGACGCUCAGGCACGAAAGCGUGGGUAUCGAACAGGAUUAGAUACCCGGGUAGUC